rnacentral:lncRNA from 1 species
AUUUCACUUCAGAAAAUGAAGCAUAUGAAUGAUCUAUUUCAAUUAUACUCCUAAUGAUAAACAAUGGCAAAAUUCCAAUUUAAAAAAGUAAUUAAAAGAUGUGAUAUAUCAGUGGUUUCAGAUUGUUUUACAAUGAAAUCAAACAAUGAUCUACAUUAGGUAAUUUCAUAGAAUACCAAAGAAUGAAAUAUAGUCAUGUAGAGUGCAUUCCACUUAAUCAGAUCACAUCAGGACAGAUGAAAUUUGAACUCAUUAAGUGGCUGGCUCCAUUAUCCAAAGUUGAAAAAUCAAAGUUCACAGAACCUUUUAUGCUGAUAGUUAUAAAAUUUUAUCACAAAAAUAUGCCCCCCGAAAAAAAAGCAGAGUGCUACAUAAAUAAAUAUUUAUUGAACUUUGUUUGGUUAAUUUACAUACAAUUCUAGAAC